rnacentral:rRNA from 1 species
UACGUAGGGGGCAAGCGUUAUCCGGAUUUACUGGGUGUAAAGGGAGCGUAGACGGCUGUGCAAGUCAGAAGUGAAAGCCCGGGGCUCAACCGCGGGACUGCUUUUGAAACUGUGUAGCUGGAGUGCAGGAGAGGUAAGUGGAAUUCCUAGUGUAGCGGUGAAAUGCGUAGAUAUUAGGAGGAACACCGGUGGCGAAGGCGGCUUACUGGACUGUAACUGACGUUGAGGCUCGAAAGCGUGGGGAGCAAACGGG